GUACAGGACAGGCAGGUCAGGUCAGGGCAGGCAGAGGUCAGUAAUCCAGAUAGGUGGGGCAAAGGUACAGGACGGCAGGCAGGUCAGGGCAGGCAGAGAUCAGUAAUCCAGAUAGGUGGGGCAAAGGUACAGGACGGCAGGCAGGUCAGGUCAGGGCAGGCAGAGGUCAGUAAUCCAGAUAGGUGGGGCAAAGGUACAGGACGGCAGGCAGGCCAGGUCAGGGCAGGCAGAGAUCAGUAAUCCAGAUAAGUGGGGCAAAGGUACAGGACGGCAGGCAGGUCAGGUCAGGGCAGGGCAGAGGUCAGUAAUCCAGAUAGGUGGGGCAAAGGUACAGGACGGCAGGCAGGCCAGGUCAGGGCAGGCAGAGGUCAGUAAUCCAGAUAGGUGGGGCAAAGGUACAGGACGGCAGGCAGG
ensembl:lncRNA